AUACGGAGGGUGCGAGCGUUAAUCGGAAUUACUGGGCGUAAAGCGUACGCAGGCGGUUAUGUCAGUCGGAUGUGAAAGCCCUAGGCUUAACCUAGGAACUGCGCUUAUUACUGGUCAACUAGAGGCCGGGAGAGGGUGGUGGAAUUCCCAGUGUAGAGGUGAAAUUCGUAGAUAUUGGGAAGAACACCAGUGGCGAAGGCGGCCACCUGGCCCGGUACUGACGCUGAGGUGCGAAAGCGUGGGGAGCAAACAGGAUUAGAAACCCCAGUAGUCC
rnacentral:rRNA from 1 species